rnacentral:rRNA from 1 species
GCAGUCUGCAACUCGACUGCAUGAAGCCGGAAUCGCUAGUAAUCGCGGAUCAGAAUGCCGCGGUGAAUACGUUCCCGGGUCUUGUACACACCGCCCGUCACACCAUGGGAGUCGGGAAUGCCCGAAGCCGGUGACCCAACCUUUCAGGAGGGAGCCGUCGAAGGCAGGCCUGGUAACUGGGGUGAAGUCGUAACAAGGUACC